AAAAACAUAAUCCAUCCUCAUCAAAUCAUGCUAAAGCUGAUCAAACUAAUGAUUUGGUGCCUGCGGAGCGAGAUCAGUGCGUCUUUGAACUCAACGGUGAUGGAUCAGAUGAAGACAAUGAUUCUGAAGAUUUGAAUGAGUUGGAACCACUACAGUUGAAGCGUACUCAUCCAAAGGAGUCAAAGAACACCUCUGAUGAUAGUUCUGAGGAAGAAGAUACUGUUGGAUCAGAGAAGCACCCAGGAUCGAGUAGUAGUUUCAGGGAACAUGUUGAUUUCCAUGACGGAAGAAUGAGAAGAAUAGCUAUCUUUGAUAAUGAUAAUGAUUUUGAUGAAAAGGUAAGCCAAUGACAUUCCUGAUCUAGUUCCUGUCCUUCUCGUUGUGCCUCAUCUUGUCUAUGAGGUGUUUUUGUAUAGUGGAUAAAAAACAAGUAGAUAGCUAUCUGUACCAGAAUAUCAAGGAGGAAAGCUUAUGUCUCCUUUUUUUCUUUUCUUUCCGAUUUUGAAAUCUAAUGAACCUGUUUCUUUCCACCUAUGUAAGAGUCCCUGGAAACUGUGCCAUGUUUUUUUUUGGGAGCAGAGGUUCUUUGCAUGAAGAAUAGUGCUUUCUAAAACUCAUCAAUUACCCCUUUCCAAUAUUUAUAUAAACCUCACCUGCAUAUUAUUGUUCACAUUAAUUUGUAUAAGUUGUUACGUCUUCACAAAUAUGCUCUGAACUUAAGUUUUGACCCAAGUUACGCUCUUGUAUGUCUUGGUUCACCGUGUGGUGGAAUUGGACUUUGAUAUGCAUAUAUGUUGUAUUUAUACUAUAUCAUUAAAUCCAAGAUUAUAAUGAAGCAGAUGUCGAAGAGGAUGCACAAGACGAGGAUUUAGAGGACACUGAUGAAGAAAAUGAAGCUUAUCAAAAUUCAGGGGAUGGUGAUGAUUUUGAUACAGAUGGUAGGUUUUUGAUCUUCAUUUAGUACGGACAUCAUUCUUUGUGUAGUUUGAUCUCCAUUUAGUACUUCAUCAUCCUCUUGUCCUAGGAGUAAAUGUAGUUCCUAACAAAGUGUUUUAGUAUGCCAGAAAUUAGGAUCUCAUAGAAGGAGCAGAUGAGGUACACUCUAGACUCUACUUCAUGGAUCACUAAUCAUUAGUAUCAAAAGAAGGAAAGACAUUUCACUAUACUAAAAAUCAUAGAUUUUGUAAUGUAAAUCUCCCAAUCACCAUUUAGCAGUUCAUCUCCUUGGUAAAUGUGGUUCGAAGAAAUAAAAAUAUACAACAAUCAUGAAAUUUGACAAUACUGAAAAUCAAGAAACCAUAGAUUUAGAAAAGUAAAUCUUCUAUAAAGAAUGAAUUUUGAAACAAAAGAGUUAAAAUACAGUUAAAUAAGUCGUUCACACAUAGAUUAUAUCAUAAAUCUGAGUAAAAUCCGACAGUUCAUAUAUCUAAAUCUUGGUCAAUUGAAACGUGAAAUGUUUACAUUCAACUAGUCCCACAUAAGCAUAACACUAAGAAUCAAAACAAUUUCCAACAAUUGAAACAGAUGACUAUCAAAUGGAACAAAUUAAGAAUAAAUCACUUUUGUUGACAUAUAUAAUGGAUAAUCGUAAAAAGAAAUUUAGAGUUUUAAUGAAUACUGGUAAUCAAAAAACAAUUAGAAGAAUUAAGGAAAGAACUCACAAUGCCCAGGGAUUGAGUUGCCGUGAACAAAGAAGAAGGGGGAAAAGCGGCUUGAAACCCUAGCGGUGACGAGAACCGUGUGUGGAGAUGAGAGUGGAGAGAGUUCAAGAUUGCAGAAAUUAGCAAAGAGUUUAGUUUUUAUUAAGGAAAUACUGUUUGCUUCUUUAGCUAUAUAUAUAUAAGGAAACAAAUAAGAUAAAUGCAUAAUAGCGAUGCUAUUGUUAAUUUGAUAAUUACCUAACAUGCUUUAAUAAUAUUACAAUUCAAUCAAGUGAGUAAAUAGGAUUUAAGAUCCACUAAUUGAUAAUAUAAAGCUUUAACUUAAAAGAUCGGAUUGAUUGGUUAAAAGAUAGAGAGAUUUAAUUACGAUCAUCAAUAAUUCACGUUAGUAUGCUUGAUAUGGAACGUGGUAAUUGCGGUUUUAGUAUCAUUUUAUUUAUGGAUGUUAAUUCACUUAUUUACACCUAUAAUUAUAUUUUUACUUGAUUAUUAUGUUAUUUAAUGGUGUAAAAUUUAUAAUACUUAUAUGUAAAGAAAGAAGAAUAAAUAUUGGUUUCUUUCUUAUACAAGUCAAACUGCUCGAAUUGAUUAUUAUGUUAAUUCCUAUUAUCAACUUUGUUUUCUUAUACAUAUAUAGCCAAAGAAGCAAACAAUAUUUCCUUUAUACAAACUAAACUCUUUGCUAAAUUUCUGCAAUCUUGAACUCUCUCCACAAACGGUUCUCGUCACCGCUAGGGUUUCAAGCCAUUUUUCCCCCUUCUUCUUUGUUCACGGCAACUCAACGUCUCCGCUAGGGUUUCAAGCCGCUUUUCCCCCUUCUUCUUUGUUCAUGUCAACUCAUCCCUGGGCAUUGUGAGUUCUUUCUGUAAUUCUUCUAAUGUUUUUUCAUUACCAGUAUUUAUUAAAAACUCUAAAAUUCUUUUUACGAUUAUCCACUAUAUAUGUCAUGAAAAGUGAUUUAUUCUUAAUUUGUUCCAUUUGAUCGUCAUCUGUUUCAAUUGUUGGAAUGUGUUUUGAUUCCUUGUAUUAUCCUUAUGUGGGACUAGUUGUAGGUAAAUAUUUCACGUUUCAAUUGACCAAGAAUUAUAUAUAUGAACUGUAGGAUUUUACUCAGAUUUAUGAUAUGAACUAUGUGUGAAUGACUUAUUUAAUUGCCUUUUGACUCUUUGUUUCAAAAUUCCUUCUUUAUGGAAGAUUUACUUUUCUAAAUCUAUGGUUUCUUGAUUUUCAGUAUUGUGAAAUUUCUUGAUUGUUGAUAUUUUGAUUUCUUCGAAGCACAGUUACCAAGGAGAUGAACUGCUAAAUGGUGAUUGGGAGAUUUACAUUUCAAAAUCUAUGAUUUUAAGUAUAGUGAAAUGUCUUUCCUUCUUUUGAUACUGAUGAUUAGUGAUCUAUGAAGUAGAGUCUAGAGUGUACCUCAUCUGCUCCUUCUAUGAGAUCCUAAUUUCUCGCAUACUAAAACACUUUGUUAAAGUGGAUUAGGCUGUCUUUCUUUUGAUUGUUCAUAAGUAUACUUUGAGGGACUUUAUGCUUUAAAUUUUCCGUUGUCACUAACAGCGUGCUUUUUGAGCAGAAAUAAUUAGAUGGAAUCGUUGAAGGACAACAUGAUGACUAUUAGCUCUGAUGAGUUUGAGAAUAAUAUCAUGGCUGAUGCUGAGGAAUUUUCUCCAGCUAUUAAACAACAGGACAGUGGGACUCACAUGGUAUGGUUUUCUUCCUCUCCUAUUUUUGAGUAUUUUUAUUCGUUUUUUAUGAAGAACAAUACUGAAACUUAUUUAUUUCGGUACAACAACAUACCCAGUGGAAUCCCACAAGUGGGGUCUGGGGAAGGUAGGAUGUGACCUUUACCCCCCCCCCCCCCCCCACCUUUUUGGAUAGAGAGGCUGUUUCCGAUAACCUUUUUAUUAUAGAAGAAUGGUCUUUUUUCUUCUGAUCGAUAGUUCUGCAAUAGUCAAACAUAUCUAAGGUAACACAACCAACAAUUACUUGGAUGGAUGAAAAUUACUAUUCAUUUUGCUUCAUUUGAACUCAUCUUAUUCCAAAUCCAUUUUUUUUAUUUUCACAAUGUAGUUAUAUGGGCAAUUUAAACUCCCCUAUUUUUUUGAGAAUCUGCUUCGUUAGAUCUUGCUCUUUCUGAUACUCUCUUGUUUGUCUUUCCAUUGUUUUCCUUAUUUUUUUGAGAGAUGUUGAUGAAUACACUAUUUAAAUGAGCCUUUGUAAGUGAACUUGUUGAAAGUGCCCAACCUAAAUAGAGAGGAGUAGAAAUAAAUGUUUCAUGGGACUGACACCAACUAGUAUGAGUUUGAGCUGUAAUUGAUAUGUAUAUAUCUCUUUCAUCUGAUUACAAUACCUCUUUUGUCUUGGAAUGCAGGUUCCAGAGGACGACUUCAAGGCUGUUGCUUAUAAGCAGGAAUGGAAUGAAGUAUCAAAAUUACCUGCACACUACAUUAGGAGAGAAGACAUGAAGAUCAAAGAUGUUGCUAUGAAACAUGUAUUGCCUUUCCUUCCUGGGAAAUCAUUGAUGAAGUUUCGGGCAGUGUCCAAUGAAUGGAAUCAUUGGAUAGUUUGUCCGUUAUUAGCAUACCAGCAAAGCACUUCAUUCCAGAAACUUUCAGGCUACUUUUAUCAAGUUGUGGAUGUGGAUUUCCAAUCUGAUCCUAAUUUCUUGUCUCUGGACCAUUCUGCGAAUGGUAUCCCCAAUCCUUCCCUGGGUUUCUUGCCUGAAAGGAUUAAAGUUCUCAGUUCUAGCAGCGGGUUGCUCCUUUGCCAGGGGUUGGAGAGUUAUUACGUUUGCAAUCCUCUGACCCUAGAUUGGGAACGUAUCCCUCCUCAUCAAUAUUAUCACGGAUCUGAUCCAGCUGUCAUUCUUGCGUUUGAUCCUCAGGGUAAUAUUGAAUCGUAUUUUCACCUUGUCGCUGCUGUCCCUCUUCUUGAUCAACCAGUUGUGUUCUUUGAGAUUUACUCGUCUCAAUCAAAUUCCUGGAGUCGCUCUUCUUCAGAGUGUCUUGAGUUGGAAGAUACAACUCUUGUUGGUGGGGGAUUAUAUAUGAAGGGGAUGGCGUACUGGAGUACAACAUCAAAUGGUGUGCUAGCAUUUGAUGUGAAAAAUGAGGUUGGUGCAGUUCUACGUGUGCCUAUUCCACCUGGGAGAUAUGGUGCCUUGACUCAGGUAAAGGAUGAGCUAUCCUAUGUAACUGUUUACAACGAUUGUGGGGAUGUUUUUAUGUUAGAUAUAUACGGAGGAAUGGACAUGAGUCUGAAUCACAGUGUCUGCAUAAAUCUUGGACACAAGAAGUCUCGCCAAACACUGGAGGAAGAUCCCUUUAUUGACAAUGGUACUGUGUUGUGCAGCGUAUUACCCUGCAUAAACAGUGGUGAUGACAUUGUGGUGAUCUGCACAACUGAAAGGAUAUAUCUUUAUUACCUGAGUGGGCAGAAGGUUGAGACUUUUAUGACUCCAGGACAACUAAAUCCGAAGAGAAGAUUCAUACCUUACACAAACAGCCUCGCUGCGAUACAUGAGCUGAAGAACUAGCUGUUGCUGUCAAGUAGAAUUCUCAUGUCCUUCCAUCAGAACUCCUUGAACAUUUUGCAUCUUCUUUUGUUUGUUAUUUGACUUGGAUUGCAGAUUAAGCUGUUUGAAUUGCUUUGUGUUUUUAUUAUAGACAUGUUUUGGAUUGCCAAUAGUUAUUGCGAGGUUUUAGUUGUCAGUUCCUUUCUACUGCUACUGUUUAUAUUUGACGAUGGAAUGUGACGUAUGAUUAGCUUUACGUUGGAGGUGGAGGGUAUUUACUACUUGAACCGAUCCCUCUUGUUUUUCUCAUAAUGAAGAAUUAAAGCUUAUAUUAUUCACGUUUACUAGUAUAUAAAUAAAAAGUUAUAAAACUAAAUUUUAUGAUAUGUGUUUUAUUGAAACUGGGAAUCGGGAAAAAUUCAAUUCAAUUCGGCAUCAAAGAAGGUAGUAGACAUCUGAUGAAAACAUAUAAUUUAUUUUAAUCGAACACAAAAUGUUAUUCUUCAAAAUAUUUCUAAUAAUUGUUUUGAGGAAAAUAUCAAAGGGAAAAGAAGAAAAUUUAGAAGAUUAACUAUGAUAAUAUUCGUAUAAAUUGGGUUUUCUCUACUUAUUGUCACGACCCAAGCCUAGGGCCUAGACGUGACCGGCGAAUAGGGAACCCAAAGGAACCCCAAACAAGCCUCAUAGCGUAUCAUUACACAUCCUUGGUCGCGGAAGCAAAAAAAAUGACCAUAAGCGAUAAGCAUAAUGAAGGGGGAAAUCGGGACUAAGGGAACAAGAGAAACAAAAAAAUAAGAAUGAUACAAAAAUACCAUAGAUGAGUCAAGCUCAAGCAUAAUACACAACUUGUCCAACACCACCUCUAAACAUGAGUACUUAGCGGGGGCCAAGACAAACUACCGGGCUCACCCUCAUAGACAAAACAUAACUAAAAAGAAAAACUCUUAUACAUAGCAAAAGAUCAUGAGCAACGUCCCCGGAAUGGAGGACUCACCAAUAACCUUGAUAGGAAAUCGUAUUAGCCACGCGGAGGAGGAUGGUCAAGCGGUGCUCCGGUCCCUACAUGGUGACAUCAUGUAGGCAUAGAGUAUGCGUUAGUACGUUUGAAUGUACUAAGUAUAUGGGAUGCAAUGCAAUGCUACAAUAGAUGGACAUCAUAGGAAAAAUGCAUAAUCAUACCCGAUAGAUAGCAUAUUAAAGAAAUGAUAUGUAUAAUGAUGCUUACAUAAAAAUCAUAUUUAGUGGGACGUAGCACAAGUGUGGUGAGUGACCAUCAAUAUAGUAUUUCCAAGGCCUACAACCCCCUUGGAGAGGCGAAAGAGGUACAAACCCCUCAAUGUGGUUACCCGGGCCUACCACCCCCCGAGCUAGGGACCAAGGUACAAACCCCUCGAUAUGGUUAUACGGGCCUACUACCCCCCGUACUAGGCAACCAAGGUACCAACCCCUCGAUACGGUUAUACGGGCCUACUACCCCCCGUACUAGGCAACCAAGGUACCAACCCCUCGAUACGGUUAUACGGGCCUACUACCCCCCGUACUAGGCAACCAAGGUACCAACCCCUCGAUACGGUUAUACGGGCCUACUACCCCCCGUACUAGGCAACCAAGGUACCAACCCCUCGAUACGGUUAUACGGGCCUACUACCCCCCGUACUAGGCAACCAAGGUACCAACCCCUCGAUACGGUUAUACGGGCCUACUACCCCCCGUACUAGGCAACCAAGGUACCAACCCCUCGAUACGGUUAUACGGGCCUACUACCCCCCGUACUAGGCAACCAAGGUACCAACCCCUCGAUACGGUUAUACGGGCCUACUACCCCCCGUACUAGGCAACCAAGGUACCAACCCCUCGAUACGGUUAUACGGGCCUACUACCCCCCGUACUAGGCAACCAAGGUACCAACCCCUCGAUACGGUUAUACGGGCCUACUACCCCCCGUACUAGGCAACCAAGGUACCAACCCCUCGAUACGGUUAUACGGGCCUACUACCCACCGUACUAGGCUUGGUCGACUCACAACACGUAUAUAGAGAAAAUCAUAUACAUGUGUCCAUUUCAUCAUCAUUUCAAUAAUUAUAUAACCAUUCGAUUCAUAAGACGUACAUUGGACCUUCCAUUUCCUAAGAAUUCUAUAAAUGGGCAUUUUGUCAAACACAAGGUGGGCUAUUGUUCAUGUAAAUGAAAUCAUGUACUUCAAGAGUACUAAGUCCAACCAAUUUCAAAAUCCAUAUAAAACAGCCCACCAACAACAUACAUAUAUAUAUACAUAUAUAACAACCUUCAUAAUUUGAUCAUUGAGGCAUGAAAACCAUAAACAUCAUAUAAUCAUUCCAUUUCAUGAUAAUAUACAAAAAUAGACCAUAAUAGGAUGUGUAGUAAUAAUUCCAUAAUUCAAGAGUUCAUAAAUGAUCAUAAGGACCCAUAAACUUGAAGUAAAAUAGAGGAUAAAUGGUUGGACUUGUGGAAAGGAAGGUUUCCACAAUCAACCCACAUACCUCAACUUUGGAGAAUUCUUGAUGAAGAUUGGAAUGGAGAAUUGCUUGAGAUUGAAUCUUGAAUCCGGAAUUAAAGCUUGGGAUCCUUGAAUUUGGUUGAUGAUCUUGGUGGAAUUUUUGGAGAGGGUUUAGAGAGAGUUUUUGGAUGUUUUGAAGUUAAAUGACUAAGUAUGGAUAUGUCCCCUUUUUAUAAAAACGUCCCAACACUUAGAAAAAAAAUUGAGGCGGGUGAACAGUGUUUUCGGCUACUGGAAUUUGCAUUUUCUGCCGGACAGGUUUUACGAAAAUGGUCAUAACUCCUUCAUCCUAACUCGGAAUGAGGCGAAACAAAUUGCGUUGGAAAGCUAACUCACAGAGCUUUAAUUUUGAUAGUUUGAGCUCCUUCCAGUUCCUUGUGUGCUGAGAGAUAUGCCCCUUUAAAGUUGACCCUCAAAAUCGCAUUUUUUGCGAUUUUCAAGUUUUGAUACGGUUGUUCUAAAAUUCGGGUUAGACUCAUUUCCCACUCAAUUUGACCCCCUGAAUAAGAAUAUGAAGUCGAAUUUCCGAAAUGAUGCACGGAUUUUGAGAUAUAUGGAAAUUACAAUUUUAGGUGUUUUCGAAGCACAUUUUCGGACAUUUUUGGGGUCGUUUCACUUAUAUACUGGUAAAAAAUUAAAAUUAUCUAAUGUAAUAAUUAAGAUGGACACAAACUAGGAGAUACACGCUAAGUAAAAGUGUAUCUAUCACUAAUAAAAUUUGAUGCAAACUACACAAUUUUUACUACUUUAAGGUCUAAUUACAUAAUUCUCGUAAGUUUUCAAAACUACUAUUUGUGUCAGAUUUCGAUCUUCAGAUACAUGUAUAAUAUACUCGGAUACAUUAGGUUAAAAAUAGGUGUAAUAUUAUCUUGGAUACACUAACUUUCUCGCUCAUCUCUCUCCUACAUCGCUUGCCUCUCGCCCUCUCUCCCUCACCUCUUUUCCUAUGUAUCUAAAUUUCAGAAUGUAUCUAGUUCCCCAAAUUUCAGAGAGUUAGUGUGAUGAGAUACACUGACUCUCUCGCUUGCCUCCCUUCUCUCUAUCUCUCGCUUGCCUCUCUCUCUAAGUAUUUUUAUUUUAGAGUGUAUCUAAUAGCAAAAAUACAUGUAUAUAAGAGUGUUUAAUUUCAAAUUUGAUAUAAAAUUAUUAAUUAGUGAGACAUUAUAUCAUUAUCUCAAACUCUAUGGAAAAUUAAUUUAGGGGGUUUGAAUUGACUUUUUAAAAGUAAUUUAUAAGCACCAUAAUUGGGCACGCCUAGCUUUUGAUAUUUUCAAAACUUUCUCUGCCUAAUUUUUUUUUAAACACUUUUUUAUAAUUACAAACACUUACUAAAUUAAAAAAAAAAGAUUAAAAAAAGAAAAAAUAACUUACAAUAAUUCAAUCUAGACACUCUCCAAAAAAUGAUAGAGAUAGUUAUAUAAUAAGAUUCGUAUAAUUUAAGUUACGAACUUACAAGUCACACUAAGGAGUAUAUAAUAUAACCGAAUAACCUUAGUAAAUACUCUCCAUAUGUUAACAGUGUCUUCUUUAAACCCUUUUCAGUAUUUUUCCCUCCCAUUCUUCUUCUUCUUCGCCACCGCCGACGAUGCUCUUAGUCUUUUCAGGGUUGCAGUUGGAAUCCCAGAACGCCAAAUUGAUUCAUAGACUUUUCUCUCUCUGCCAUGGCUAUCGACGGAGAACAGUCGCACAAAUCUCACAUGUCACGUCAGUCUGGUCCUACGGCCAAGAAAAAAUCCAAGUCCGACAAGAAAAAAAAGGUUGCUUCCGACGAAAACAAUAAACAACAUAAUACUAAGGUUUCUUGAAUAGUAUUUUUUCUUGUAGUUCUUUUUUGUUCUUUAUGUACCUGGGUUCGUCUACUGUUUUUUUUUUUUUUAUGACAAGGGAAACCACAGCCGCUACCGUUUGGGUGCGCAUAGGGUAAAACCCCCUCUCCUAUUCAAUACCUCGCAAACCACAUAGGAGAGGUAAACCGCACUAGCCAAGCCUGGUGCGACGAGCUCGACCCAGAAGGCAAACCCCUUGCUUUUGCUGGCAAGGGGUUUCUAACCUGAGACCUCCAACAUGAAAGUCCCAAGCGCCACCCCGAAGGGUAUCUACUGUUUUACUCUAUUCUUGACUAAUUUUUAUUAAUAAUCUGGGUAAAUGUUUGUUUCAGUCUAUUUUGUUGGUCUAGCCAGUCAUAUAUGAUUGGUCUACCCAGUCAUAGAUGAAUAGAUGUUGGUAGUUCUUUUAACUCUAGACCUAAGUCUCCUCACUGGCUCCAGGGUCUUACCAUUUAUCAUGUAAUGGAGAAAGCAUAUCUACUUUUGUACUCUUUGCAUCUUCUUGAUUACUUCAUCAAUAAAAUAAUAAUUUGGGCACAAGUCCAAGAUAUCUUGAAUAGUAAUUUCUUGAGACUUAUAAUGUAAAUUUGUAGGCAUUUGCAUUUAAUUCCACGGUGAAAGCAAAGAAAUUGCAAGCACGAGCAACAGAGAAGGAGCAGAAGAGGCUUCAUGUCCCAACAGUUGAUAGGUCCACUGGUGAACCAGCUCCAUAUGUUAUUGUAGUGCAGGGACCUCCCAAGGUUGAUUUCACAUGGUUGUUUUUGGUUAGAUGUCAUUCAUUGGGUUUUAGAUUUGAUCUUCUUAUGUAUUAUGCUAUUAUAGGUUGGGAAGUCACUGUUAAUUAAGUCUCUCGUGAAGCACUAUUAUUAUGCUAUUAUAGGUUGGGAAGUCACUGUUAAUUAAGUCUCUCGUGAAGCACUAUACAAAGCAAAAUUUACCUGAAGUUUGAGGUCCCAUCACUGUAGUAUCAGGUAUGGAUUGGCUUCCCACCUUGUUCCUUUUUCCGGUUAGCUUAGUCCAUAAAUGAAUAAUUGGAAGUAUUAGAAAGAAAGUAUGGAUUCACCUGAUCACAUCUGAGAUAUUAUCUUUGAUGGUUUCUGUUUAUCUCAUGUUUCGUCUUGAUUGUGAUUUUUAUCUCCUUCAAAAAGGAGGUAGAGAGGAUAUCAAAUAUGCUGGAUGUGUUGGGUGGUUGUGGAAAUUAUUCAUUUAACAUCUUACAGUAUAUCCAUUUUCUUGUUCCUUAUCCUUUUCCUAUUCCUCAUUUCAAUUACAAUGGUAGGCUUUCGAGAUGGAUUCCGUACUUUAGAGAAGACCUUAAUUAAAUUUUCCUAAUAGUUCCCCUUAGCCCAUAUAACAUUUCAAGUUUAAUGAAUGAAAUAAAAGAGAAAAGCUAAUUUUCUUGUAUAAAGAUGUUUUUUGUGUAGGAGGUUAUUCUACUUUCAUUUGGGUUUCUUUCAACUUAAUACACUCCGCAUUCAGAAUAACUUCAGUUGGCUGGUUUUUACUGGGUUUGACAUUAUAUUUAGUUCUCCACAAGCAAGACAUGCCUCCAAAAUCAGUUGGGACAUGGUAUACAGUGAGUGCUUGGUUUCGCGUUCGAUUAAUCUGCUGUGGUUGUGAUGCUGUUACUGACUCUGAUAUGUAUAUUAACUUAAAAUUGUAUUUUAUAGCUAUACUUUUUUUCUCUUUUCGAUUUUUUGCUAUGUGAUCGAGGAUAUGCUUUUCUGCUUUAUUGCAAUAUGUUAGUAACUGGUCUUGUCAAAUGUGCACUUAAACCCGGUAGGCAAGGCACUUUGUAGGAUGAAUGUUGUGCCUUGCUAAAUUGCUGUUUCGGUGGAAGCUCUUAAUUGGUGAUUCAACACAAAACCUAUGUUAAUUAUGAAACUCUUGAGUUUUGCCUAUAGGUUGACUAUAAAUCAUUAAGGUGGCUGGAUCAAUUUAGUGUGAAGUGUUAAGGAAACUCGGCUGAUGGAAAUAUUCUAGUCACUACUCCCUAGGAAUAGGAAAUUAAAAUAUUUUUACAAGAGAGUUAGUUACUUCUUACAAUUGCAUUGUGAACUUAAAAACUUAACUAGAAAUAGAGUGGAACUUGAACUACCAUGGUCUUUAUCCACCAAUAUAUUAACUUAAUAUGCAGUGUUUUAUUUCCAUCAAUUUUGCAUCUUUUUUCUCUUAGUUUGUAUUUAGUUGAGCGUUGUUAAUAUAUCCCAUAAAAUAGCUUUUCUAUGCAUUUUGCCUCUGACAAUAUUGAUAAUAUCUAGAAGACAUUUUUUUUCCUCUUGAUGUCCCAAAGUAAGGUGUCAACUUAAUCAAUUAUAAGAGUAGCUAUAUAUGCAGUAUUGACAUAACUAUAUUCUAUUGCGUUUUACUUGGUUCUUUGGUAUUGGAAAAUUAUUGUUAAUUCAUUUGUGACAUUGUAGGUAAGCAGAGACGUUUGCAGUUUGUGGAGUGUCCGAAUGAUAUCAAUGGGAUGAUUGAUGCGGCAAAGUUUGCGGAUUUGGCAUUGCUUCUCAUUGACGGUAGCUAUGUCUUUGAAAUGGUGCGCUUUUCUUUCUUAAGAGAAAAAAGACUCUUUAGGAUAAGCAUAAGAUUAUUCUAGCGUUUUCUCAUUGAAUAUGUAGCAACUACUCUACUCUAAGGAUGGUUUAUUCGUAGCAAGUUAGGUGAGAUUGAAUUAUAUGCAGAUAUUAUCAUUAAUGUAAGUUCUUGAUUCCUCUGUCUUUCAAAUUGAUCCUCUUUGUCCCGUUUUAUUUGACUUGCCUUUUCUCAUGACAUGCAUAUAUAUUAGUAGUUGAAGAAAGUGUAAUACUUUAUUAACUCUAUACCAUGAUUCCCUCAGUAAUACCUGAUCACUUUUAACAACUAUUUUCAGUGUUAUCUUCUGACACUAUCAAUUCAAUAUGCUUGUUAAGUUAUUUAUUGGUGUGUUUGAUCAAAAUCUCUCACAGAAUAGCAGAGGCAGAGGGAGUAUCAGUUAGAUUCCUUACACAAACUUAAUUGGUUAUAUUAAAAUUGACAUUUGUUGUAUGCUUCCAUCUUGUUACCAAGGUAACACAGAGGGUGUUAUAUUCUUCCUCCAGUACCUUUCGCAUUUACUGAUUGGUGAUUUUUGCCAACUUUAUUUCCUCUUUGAAAGUUUCUUAGCUGAUAUUUUUUUUGUUGGUAGACCUUGUGAUUGGUUUAAUUAUUGUCACGACCCGAGCCUACACCCUUGACGUGGCCGGCACUCGAUAACCAUUGAUGUUCUCCAAACUAACUCCCAUCCUGGCUGACUAUAAGUGGAAGACUAACUCAAACUUACAAAGCUUAAAAACUGAAUAAAAUUCAUGAAACUUAAAUAGAAAUCUUUAACUCAACAGAAAACUCUGAAUAAAAUAAAUUAUUCAACUCGCUAUAAAAUACGCAACUUAAAUCUUUAAAACAUUUAGUAAAAUAAAUAAUACAGACUUCUCAAUUAUACUGACUAUCUAUGAAGCCUCUAACUGAUAAAGAUGGAAGUCGGGACAAGACCCAUGACAUCCUGACUAAACUGAAAAGUAAAUGAAAUCCUCCGGAAACAAGGAGGCUCACCAUAGCGAACUCGAACUCCCGGAUGUAUAACGAAUCUCCUGUUGAUAAUCCUAAACACUUGUGUCUGCAUUAUGAAAAGAUGCAGGCCAAAUGGCUUAGUAUGUGGAAUGUACGAGCAUGCAAGGGGAAUUCUAAAACAUAAACAUACGCUUGAAACUUGAUAAAAACGAAACAUACUUAUCUCAUUUCAAAUUUACUCAACUCAAGAAAUACUCAAGGAUACUCAAAACUACUCAAACUUACUCAACUCAGAAGUAUUCAAGGAUAAGAUACUCAACUCAGAGAUUAGGUACUCAACUCAAAGAUAUGAUAUUCGACUCUGGGUACUCAACUCAAUAAAAGCAACAAUACACAUGCAAUAUAUGGAAAGCUUUAUAAAACAGUAAAUGCAACUUAGUUCGUUUAAGAAAAUGCAAUAACAAAUUCAACUUUACUUAGAUAAUAAAGUAAUAUAGUUUCUGUGGGAGUUUCUCUAACCGACAACCACCACUAUGAGCCUAAGUGGUGACACAACGUCUUGCCCACGCUGCUAGAACUGUCCUAUACUUUGCCGUCAUAUAGAACGCUUAACUUAGUGGAUCCACUAGCUUAUGCUAAAAGCAUCUUAAGGAGUCAUCUAAAAAGUAUGAUCCUUUACUACCCAUGAUGGCUACAUGGCUUAUGGAGACGUGAAUUGUCUGAACUCAAACUCGUCCCCAUAUCGGUACUUAAUACUACUCCCAAAAUAUCUUAGCUCAUAUGUUUGUAAAAACAAAGCUUCCUUCUUUGGUUUGAGAUAAUUACUCAAAAACUUAGCUUAAAAGCUCUCUUGGAAUCGAUGUUCCCUUUCUUGCUCAAAACUCUUUUGGAAAUCUCAGUAAAUGUGAAAACAUUUUCUCUUGGGAAUACUUAGUUCCCAUAUAUCAUUUUAAAGAAAAUGAACUUUAUUCUUACUCUUUACUCAACUUCAAAGCUCAAGUCUUAAAACAAAGUUAAAACAUUUGUAAAAGACUUCUUAAAAUAUGGUUCAUGCCGAUUUAUGGACGUGAUCGACUCAAUGCAAGGUUUUCAAUGACCAUAGAUAGAACUAAAUAGUUGGAACUCAAGAACUUCAAUGAUACUACCCAUCUCAAGACUGUUCGACUUAUAGGGUUCAUGCAAAAUUAUGGACAUGUAUAACCCAACUCAAGAACUUCAUGGGUAACAUGUAAUAGUCCCAUUAUUAGGAAUAUAAUCUCGAAAAAGAUUAGGAACUCAAUACUCAAGACUUAGAACUUGAAGAUACUACUCCUUUCAAGGAUACUUAACUUAUGGAGUUCAUGUGGAAUUUAUGGGCAUGAACAACUCGACUUGAAAGUCUACAUAACAACAUGGAACUUAUGUAAACGACUCUUCUCAUUCUCAUACUUGCUUCCUCAAGAACUUAACACAAAUCGAUGGUGGAUCUCAAAGGAUUCACAAUUGAACUCAAAGGCUUCCUUGAACUCUACUCUUAACUCUCUCUUGAAUGUGAAUUAUGAAUUCAAGAGUUAUGGUUCAUGCUAUGAAAGGUCUCAUGAUGACAAAGUAGACUCAUGAACACAUUCUCCUCAUUCUCUUACUCACUUGCUCGAGUCUUGAUACAAGUUAUUAGAAAUUGUAGAAGACUCCUCACAAAGACUCAAAGGGACUUUCUCAAAAAUAUUUGAAAGAACUCUCAAAACUUGACUCUCAACUCUACCUUGAAUUUGAUUUAUGUAUUCAAGGUUCUGAUUUGUGAUAGGAAAGAUCUUGGGAUAUUUAGGAAUGUUUUUAGAUAGUUAAAUAUGAGUAACGAUUGAAAAACACGUUCUGGGGAGCCAGUCCACGACGCGGAGAUGCAUUAAUAUGUUUGGUUGAAAUAAUUUUUGAAACCGUGGAGUCCGCAACCUCUCUGGGACGCUGAGCGAAAAUUUUCACACCGAAGGAACAGGUCCGUGACGCGGACCUGUCGCGGACCUGGUACCUGUUCCUUGUCCGACUUUUUCUUCCUCAUUUUCUAACCCCAAUUCGCUUUGAAUCGAACAGUUUCUUCCCCAAUCACUUGAAUUCGAUUACUCAACAUAAGUACACUCUAAUCUACUCAAUACAGCCCUCUAAAGACUCACAUUCAUCUCAAGAAAUCACCAAAACCCCAACACAAAAAGAUUUAGGAUGAACUUUAAGAACAACACCUAUCAAGAACUCAUCAAGGACUCUAAUCUUUCAACUUUUAAGAAUGAAAUUGCGCUAAAAAUAACAUGAUUGGCGUGUGAGUGAACAAAUCCAACACUAUGGAAGCUUACAUACCUGAAAGAAUCAUCUUUUUGAAGGACUUGAAGGAAAAUCUUGAAAGAUGAACCCUAGCCUUAGCGUUUCUUGAAGUCCUUGAGCAUUAGAAUUUUUGGAGUGGAUGAGAGAGAGGCUUUGAUUUAAGAAAACUGAUUUUCUACACGUUUAGGGCAAUUUAGAUGACAUUCUAAGGCUUUUUAGGACCAAAAUACCCUUUAAGAAAUAAAUAAAACGAGAUGGGAGUCGGAAUAAUUUUUCACCAUGCAGUAAGGUCCGUAUUGGAUCCGUAACGCGGAGCCAUCGCGGAGAUACUGCCAGGUUUGAGCGUCGUUAGUAAAUCAGUCAUUAACUUGUUACUCAGAGCUGGGAAUUUUGCAAACUUGGUGGUGUUGGAAAGAGGACUCGAAGGGCUUUAAUUUAAAAUCUUAUGGGUCUCCUUACUCAUCCUGUACUAAAAGUUAUGGUUGUUUGAAGUUGAACCAAAACUUAAGAAAAAUUUAGGAAUGACUUGAAUGAACUCUCUUUAGUUCUUCUUGAAACUCAAGGUGCUAUAUCUAGUGACCUUAACGCUUAGGAAAAUUUAAAUUGCUGAGUAGAAACUUACUCACUACGAAGGACGGGUCGAGUCUUAGCUCUAAAAUUCUCUGGGAGACCUUUGAAUUCCUUAAUAUACUGCAAAAUCAUGGAUUUCCUAAAGUUAUGGGUGUUCUUACGCAUCUCGACCAGUUCAAGGAUGUUAAGAAGCUUAAAAAGACGAAGCAACUGUUAAAACAUAGAUUUUGGACUGAGAUAUAUGAUGGAGAUAAAUUAUUUUACUUGUCUGGUCUUAUCCAUGGGAAGUAAGUCCCUGGAUUCCAUAUUUGAAAAUACAUGUUUAGCAUGCUACAUUGAUAUAAUGUAAUAUUUCUAUUUAAUUUCUGAAACAAUUUUUUGUUAAUGAGUAGGUACUCUAAACGUGAAGUGCAUAAUCUUGCUCGGUUUAUCUCUGUCAUGAAGUUUCCUCCUUUAUCCUGGCGCAUGUCCCACCCCUACAUUGUUGUAGAUCGAUUUGAAGAUCUAACUCCCCCUGAAAAAGUGUGCAUGGACAACAAGUGUGACAGAAAUGUCAUUUUGUAUGGUUAUCUUCGUGGAUGUAAUUUGAAGAAAUGAACAAAGGUCUGUGAUGUGAAUGCUUUGUUUCUUGUACUUUUCUUGUAUUUGGUUGGGAAAUAACUUUUAGUACUACAGUUUCAAAAAAUAACUUUUUGUACUAAUUCAUGUUAAAUAAAAUUGUGAUUAUGCUAUGAACUGGCUGUUUAUAGGCAUAGAAGCAAAGGUUCGUGCACCCUGUAAGGUCAAUUGAAAGUAAUAUAGUUGCUGAGACUUGAGAGAUGACAUAGCAAUAUGCCUAAUAUCUUAUGGAGUGUUGGUUGGCUCUAUCGGGCUACAAAUAGAUGAAUUUUAAGAGUGACAAUACCACAGAUCUGGUUCAAAUACUUGGAGAAAAUCAUCAAGCUUAACGUUCAAAUGCAUAUUAUGUAUCUAGUGGCUAAUAUAGAGAAUUUUGGCUAUUGUUUUAGGAAUUUUGGGUAUAGAGUGGACCUUUGGCCUUUUUGGUGUAAACUUAUCAUAUGUGAGGAGGAAAAAUGAGACUCUUAUCAAUGUUUUGUAGAUUUUGCACAGAGAAUCUUUUGUAGUAUCCAACAUUGGCUUGGUGCUUGGCUAUUUCACUUGUGAAUAAUAUUUUCUUUACUUGUCAACAAUCUGAGUUUGUGAAUUCUACUGUUCGAUGUUCUAUUGAAAGGGAACAAGUUAUCUCCCUUUCAUAACAAAGUAGAUAAGACCACGAAAGAUGGAAGCCUUUGGGAUACUAACUCACUAGUUGUGUAAUGAUUCAUGUGAAGACUUUGUCAUUUUAUUUAUAUCUGGUUAUUUUAAUAUGGUGUUACAGCUAUUGAUAUAGCAGUUUAUUUCUCCCUUGUCCAUAUUCUAAAGCUGCUUCACAAUAUGACCAGGUACAUAUUGCUGGUGUUGGUGAUUAUAGUUUUAGCUGGUAUAACAGCAUUACCCGAUCCAUGCCCUCUACCAUCUGCUGCCAAGAAGAAGGGACUAAGGGACAAGGAAAAGCUGUUUUAUGCCCCCAUGUCUGGAUUUGGCGAUCUUCUUUACGAUAAGGAUGUUGUGUAUACAAUCAUAAAUGAUCACUUUGUCCAGUUCUCUAAGGUUGAUGAAACAGCUGCUGUUGGGAGUCGCAGAGGUAAAUAUUUCCUCUCUGUUUUUUAUAAACCUACGAAUUCCAAUUUUUUUUGGCUUAUGGGAAAUUUACAUUCCCUUAUUUAAUUCAGCAAGAUAAAUGAUAUGCCUCAGGCUAUCUUUUGUUGUUUGAAUUGGUAAGUUCUUAUCCUAAACAGCUAUAGCUUUAAAAUUUGCUGCUAUUACCAAUUAGUAGGCCUUGAAUGUUGUUGCUUUUCUUUGAUUGCUCUGGAUUCCUUCCAUCCCUAUCAGUUACUCAUCAUAAUUUCUGGCUAAACUCUACUUAUUAUUGGUCAAGCGACUUAAUAAGACCAAAUGUUGAUUAUGAAAUCUUCUCUUGUACUGGUGUUUGUUUCAUCCAUUUCCUCCACGUUGAGUCUCUCUCUUUUGCAUUCGGAGGAGUGCUAUUUGCUUAGAUGGUGUUAGAAGUUGUUGAGAACUCCUAUAUGUUGUAAAAUUUUAGUACAUCUUUUUACCAAUUGCUUAGACACCGUCGGGACACGAAUGGUCGUUGUUAAUCUUAUGAUCGAUACUAGUUUCUAAAACAACCUUAUGAUCGAUAGUAGUUUGUUGGAUUUUGUGCAUUUUCACUAAGCCGACCAAUUAAAAAGAAAAAUUGAGUUAUGUUAUUGUCACCUCCCUACCAUGUUAUUACGAAAAAUGAUCCAUACAUUUGUCAAACUACAUUAGGUGGAUGCCAAUAUCAACUAAUGCGUGAAAAAAAUGAAAGAAGAAUAGGAUUAUGUUAGGCACAGUGGUUUGAGCUUGGGACUUCCAUGUUGGAGGUCUCAAGUUCGAAACCCCUUGCCAGCGAAAGCAAGGGGUUUGCCUUCUGGGUCGAGCUCGUCGCAUCAGGCUUGCCUAGUGCGGUUUACCUCUCCUAUGUGGUUUGCGAGCUAUUGCAUCGGAGCGGGGGUUUUAACCUGUGCGCACCCAAAGGGUAGCGGCUGCGGGUUUCACAAUUUUUUUUGCAUAGACUAAUAAUUAAAAAUCUCACCUGUGUCAUGCAUGGAUCUACAACUGGUUUUUUUUUUAACACUGCUAAUUUGUAUUUUUCAGUAUUACGGGCUAUGACUUGUUUUCUUAAUAAUGGAUAAAGAAAUUAUUGGAUGUUGAUGGUUUGUGAGCUAUUGCAUAGGAGCAGGGGUUUUACCCUGUGCGCACUCAAAAGGGUAGCGGCUACGGGUUUCCCUUGUCAUCAAAAAAAAUAAAAAAUAUUGGAUGUUGAUAUCACCUUUUUCCAACAUGCUAUAUGUUGUUUUAUUUUUUGGGUCACAACUUUUGGCAAGACAUUUUCCCACUGACAAGUAUUAUCCUCUUGAUCUCAGGGAAGGUCAAUGAUGUCGGAGAGGCUUUAGUUAAAUCACUUCAGAACACGAAAUAUUCAAUAGAUGAGAAGUUUCGGGAAAAUUCAUAAUCCAUCCUCAUCAAAUCAUGCUAAAGCUGAUCAAACUAAUGAUUUGGUGCCUGCGGAGCGAGAUCAGUCUGUCUUUGAACCCAACAGUGAUGGAUCAGAUGAAGACAAUGAUUCUGAAGAUUUGAAUGAGUUGGAACCAGUACAGUUGAAGCGUACUCAUCCAAAGGAGUCAAAGGACACCUCUGAUGAUAGUUCUGAGAAAGAGGAUACUAUUGGAUCAGAGAAGCACCCAGGAUCGAGUAGUUGUUUCAGAGAACAUGUUGAUUUCCAUGACGGAAGAAUGAGAAGAAAAGCUAUCUUUGAUAAUGAUAAUGAUAAUGAUUUUGAUGAAAAGGUAAGCCACUGACAUUCCUGAUCUAGUUCCUGUCCUUCUCGUUGUGCCUCAUCUUGUCUAUGAGGUGUUUGUGUAUAGUGGAUAAAAACCAAGUAGACAGCUAUAUGUACCAGAAUAUUAAGGAGGAAAGCUUAUAUCUCCUUUUUUUCUUUUCUUUCCGAUUUUGAAAUCUAAUGAACCUGUUGCUUUCCAACUAUGUAAGAGUCCCUGGAAAUUGUGCAGGUUUUUUUUUGGGAGCAGAGGUUAUUUGCAUGAAGAAUAGUGCUUUCUAAAACUCAUCAAUUACCCCUUUCCAAUAUUUAUAUAAACCUCACCUGCAUAUUAUUGUUCACAUUAAUUUGUAUAAGUUGUUACGUCUUCACAUAUAUGCUCUGAACUUAAGUUUUGACCCAAGUUACACUCUUGUAUAUCCUGGUUCACCGUGUGGUGGAAUUGGACUUUGAUAUGCGUAUAUGUUGUAUUUAUACUAUAUCAUUAAAUCCAGGAUUAUAGUUAAGAUGUCGAAGAGGAUGCACAAGACGAGGAUUUAGAGGAUACUGAUGAAGAAAAUGAAGCUUAUCAAAAUUCAGGGGAUGAUGAUGAUUUUGAUAUAGAUGGUAGGUUUUUGAUCUUCAUUUUGUACAGACAUCAUUCUAUGUGUAGUUUGAUCUCCAUUUAGUACUUCAUCAUCCACUUGGCCAAGGAGUAAAUGAAGUUCCUAACAAAGUGUUUUAGUAUGCCAGAAAUUAGGAUCUCAUAGAAGGAGCUGAUGAGGUACACUCUAGACUCUACUUCAUAGAUCACUAAUCAUCAAUAUCAAAAGAAGGAAAGACAUUUCACUAUACUAAAAAUCAUAGAUUUUGAAAUGUAUAUCUCCCAAUCACCAUUUAGCAGUUCAUCUCCUUGGUAAAUGUGGUUCGAAGAAAUAAAAAUAUCAACAAUCAAGAAAUUUGACAAUACUGAAAAUCAAGAAACCAUAGAUUUAGAAAAGUAAAUCUUCUAUAAAGAAUGAAUUUUGAAACAAAAGAGUCAAAAUACAAUUAAAUAAGUCGUUCACACAUAGAUCAUAUCAUAAAUCUGAGUAAAAUCCGACAGUUCAUAUAUAUAAAUUUUGGUCAAUUGAAACAUGAAAUGUUUACAUUCAACUAGUUCCACAUAAGCAUAAUACAAGGAAUCAAAACAAUUUCCAACAAUUGAAACAGAUGACAAUCAAAUGGAACAAAUUAAGAAUAAAUCACUUUUCAUGACAUAUAUAAUGGAUAAUCGUAAAAAGAAUUUUAGAGUUUUUAAUGAAUACUGGUAAUCAAAAAACAUUAGAAGAAUUAAGGAAAGAACUCACAAUGCCCGGGGGUUGAGUUGUCGUAAACAAAGAAGGGGGAAAAGCGGUUUGAAACCCUAGUGGUGACGAGAACCGUGUGUGAAGAGGAGAGUGGAGAGAGUUCAAUAUUGCAGAAAUUUAGCAAAGAGUUAAAGAUCGGAUUAAUUGGUUAACAGAUAGAGAGAUUUAAUUACGAUCGUCAAUAAUUCACGUUAGUAUGCUUGAUAUGGAAUGUGAUAAUUGUGGUUUUAGUAUCAUUUUAUUUAUGGAUUUUAAUUCACUUAUUUACACCUAUAAUUAUUUUUUUACUUGAUUAUUAUGUUAUCUAAUGGUGUAAAAUAUAUAAUACUUAUAUGUAAAGAAAGAAGAAUAAAUAUUGGUUUCUUUCUUGUACAAGUCAAACUGCUCGACUUGAUUAUUAUGUUAAUUCCUUUUAUCAACUUUGUUUUCUUAUAUAUAUAGCCAAAGAAGCAAACAAUAUUUUCUUUAUACAAACUAAACUCUUCGCUAAAUUUUUGCAAUCUUGAACUCUCUCCACACACGGUUCUCGUCUCCGCUAGGGUUUCAAGCCGCUUUUCCCCCUUCUUCUUUGUUCAUGUCAACUCAUCCCUGGGCAUUGUGAGUUCUUUCUGUAAUUCUUCUAAUGUUUUUUCAUUACCAGUAUUUAUUAAAAACUCUAAAUUUCUUUUUACGAUUAUCCACUAUAUAUGUCAUGAAAAGUGAUUUAUUCUUAAUUUGUUCCAUUUGAUCGUCAUCUGUUUCAAUUGUUGGAAUGUGUUUUGAUUCCUUGUAUUAUCCUUAUGUGGGACUAGUUGUAGGUAAAUAUUUCACGUUUCAAUUGACCAAGAAUUAUAUAUAUGAACUGUAGGAUUUUACUCAGAUUUAUGAUAUGAACUAUGUGUGAAUGACUUAUUUAAUUGCCUUUUGACUCUUUGUUUCAAAAUUCCUUCUUUAUGGAAGAUUUACUUUUCUAAAUCUAUGGUUUCUUGAUUUUCAGUAUUGUGAAAUUUCUUGAUUGUUGAUAUUUUUAUUUCUUUGAACAACAGUUACCAAGGAGAUGAACUGCUAAAUGGUGAUUGGGAGAUUUACAUUUCAAUAUCUAUGGUUUUAAGUAUAGUGAAAUGUCUUUCCUUCUUUUGAUCCUGAUGAUUAGUGAUAUAUGAAGUAGAGUCUAGAGUGUACCUCAUCUGCUCCUUCUAUGAGAUCCUAAUUUCUCGCAUACUAAAACAAUUUGUUAAAGUGGAUUAGGCUGUCUUUCUUUUGAUUGUUCAUAAGUAUGCUUUGAGGGACUUUAUUCUUUAAAUUUUCCUUUGUCACUAACAACGUGCUUUUGGUGCAGAAAAUAUUAAAUGGAAUCGUUGAAGGACAACAUGAUGACUAUUAUCUCUGAUGAGUUUGAGAAUAAUAUCAUGGCUGAUGCUGAGGAAUUUUCUUCAGCUAUUAAACAACAGGACAGUGGGACUCACAAGGUAUGGUUUUCUUCCUCUCCUAGUUUUGAGUAUUUUUAUUCGUUUUUUAUGAAGAACAAUACUGAAACUUGUUUAUUUCGGUACAACAACAUACCCAGUGGAAUCCCACAAGUGGGGUUUGGGGGAGGUAGGAUGUGACUUUACCCCCCCCCCCCCUUCCUUUUUGGAUAGAAAGGCUGUUUCUGAUAACCUUUUUAUUAUAGAAGAAUGGUCGUUUUUUCUUCUGAUCGAUAGGUCUGCAAUAGUGAAACAUAUCCAAGGUUACACAACCAACAAUUACUUGGAUGGAUGAAAAUUACUAUUCAUUUUGCUUCAUUUGAACUCAUCUUAUUCCAAAACCAUUUUUUUUAUUUUCACAACGUAAUUAUAUGGCCAAUCUGAACUCCCCUAUUUUUUUGAGAAGCUGCUUCUUUAGAUCUUGCACUUUCUGAUACUACCUAUUUUUUUGAGAAUCUGCUUCGUUAGAUCUUGCUCUUUCUGAUACUCUCUUGUUUGUCUUUCCAUUGUUUUCCUUAUUUUUUUGAGAGAUGUUGAUGAAUACACUAUUUAAAUGAGCCUUUGUAAGUGAACUUGUUGAAAGUGCCCAACCUAAAUAGAGAGGAGUAGAAAUAAAUGUUUCAUGGGACUGACACCAACUAGUAUGAGUUUGAGCUGUAAUUGAUAUGUAUAUAUCUCUUUCAUCUGAUUACAAUACCUCUUUUGUCUUGGAUUGCAGGUUCCAGAGGACGACUUCAAGGCUGUUGCUUAUAAGCAGGAAUGGAAUGAAGUAUCAAAAUUACCUGCAAACUACAUUAGGAGAGAAGACAUGGAGAUGAAAGAUGUUGCUAUGAAACAUGUAUUGCCUUUCCUUCCUGGUAAAUCAUUGAUGAAGUUUCGGGCAGUGUCCAAUGAAUGGAAACAUUGGAUAGUUUGUCCGUUAUUAGCAUACCAGCAAAGCACUUCAUUCCAGAAACUUUCAGGCUACUUUUAUCAAGUUGUGGAUGUGGAUUUCCAAUCUGAUCCUAAUUUCUUGUCUCUGGACCAUUCUGCGAAUGGUAUCCCCAAUCCUUCCCUGGGUUUCUUGCCUGAAAGGAUUAAAGUUCUCAGUUCUAGCAGCGGGUUGCUCCUUUGCCAGGGGUUGGAGAGUUAUUACGUUUGCAAUCCUCUGACCCUAGAUUGGGAACGUAUCCCUCCUCAUCAAUAUUAUCACGGAUCUGAUCCAGCUGUCAUUCUUGCGUUUGAUCCUCAGGGUAAUAUUGAAUCGUAUUUUCACCUUGUCGCUGCUGUCCCUCUUCUUGAUCAACCAGUUGUGUUCUUUGAGAUUUACUCGUCUCAAUCAAAUUCCUGGAGUCGCUCUUCUUCAGAGUGUCUUGAGUUGGAAGAUACAACUCUUGUUGGUGGGGGAUUAUAUAUGAAGGGGAUGGCGUACUGGAGUACAACAUCAAAUGGUGUGCUAGCAUUUGAUGUGAAAAAUGAGGUCGCUGCAGUUCUACGUGUGCCUAUUCCACCUGGGAGAUAUGGUGCCUUGACUCAGGUAAAGGAUGAGCUAUCCUAUGUAACUGUUUACAACGAUUGUGGGGAUGUUUUUAUGUUAGAUAUAUACGGAGGAAUGGACAUGAGUCUGAAUCACAGUGUCUGCAUAAAUCUUGGACACAAGAAGUCUCGCCAAACACUGGAGGAAGAUCCCUUUAUUGACAAUGGUACUGUGUUGUGCAGCGUAUUACCCUGCAUAAACAGUGGUGAUGACAUUGUGGUGAUCUGCACAACUGAAAGGAUAUAUCUUUAUUACCUGAGUGGGCAGAAGGUUGAGACUUUUAUCACUCCAGGACAGCUAAAUCCGAAGAGAAGAUUCAUACCUUACACAAACAGCCUCGCUGCGAUACAUGAGCUGAAGAACUAGCUGUUGCUGUCAAGUAGAAUUCUCAUGUCCUUCCAUCAGAACUCCUUGAACAUUUUGCAUCUUCUUUUGCUUUUUAUUUGACUUGGAUUGCAGAUUAAGCUGUUUGAAUAGCUUUGUGUUUUUGUUAUAGACAUGCUUUGGAUUGCCAAUAGUUAUUGCGAGGUUUUAGUGGUCAGUUCCUUUCUACUGCUACUAUUUAUAUUUGACGAUGGAAUGUGAGGUAUGAUUAGCUUUACGUUGGAGGUGGAGGGUAUUUACUACUUGAACCGAUCCCUCUUGUUUUUCUCAUAAUGAAGAAUUAAAGCUUAUAUUAUUCAUGUUUACUAGUAUAUACAUAAAAAGAUAUAAAACUAAAUUUUAUUAUAUAUGUGUUUUAAUGAAACUGGGAAUCGAGAAAAAUUCAAAUUAAUUCGGCAUCAAUGAAAGUAGUAAACAUCAGUUGAAAACAUAUAAUUUAUUUUAAUUGAACACAAAAUGUUACUCUUCAAUUUAUUUCAAAUAAUUUUUUUGAGGAAUAUACUGAAGGGAAAAGAAGGAAAUUUACAAGAUUAACUAUGAUAAUAUUCUUAUAAAUUGGGUUAUUCUCUGCUUAUAUACUAGUAAAAACAUUAAAAUUAUCUAAUGUAAUAAUUAAGAUGGACACAAACUAGGAGAUACACGCUAAGUAAAAGUGUAUCUAUCACUAAUAAAAUUUGAUGCAAACUAUACAAUUUUUACUACUUUAAGGUCUAAUUACAUAAUUCUCGUAAGUUUUCAAAAUUACUAUUUGUGUCAGAUUUUGAUCUUCAGAUACAUGUAUAAGCUACUCGUAUACAUUAGGUAAAAAAUAGGUGUAAUUGUAGCUUGGAUACACUAACUUUCUCGGUCACUUCUCUUCUACAUUGCUUGCCUCUCUCCCUCUCUCGCUCACCUCUUUUCCUAUGUAUCUAAAUUUCAGAAUGUAUCUAGUUCCCCAAAUAUAUAUGUCUAGUGUGAUUCGCAUGUAUCUGAGAUACACUGACUCUCUCGCUUGCCUCUCUCCCUUUGUAUUUUUAUUUGAGAAUAUAUGUAAUAGCAAAAAUACAUGUAUAUAAGUGUAUUUAACUUCAAAUUUGAUAUAAAAUUAUUAAUUAGUGAGACAUUAUAUCAUUAUUUCAACGGCAAAGGGCCAAAUAUACCCCUCUACUAUAUGAAAUAGUUUAAAUAUAACCUUAGUUAUACUUUAGGGAUAAAUAUACCCCUCCCGUUAUACUUUUGGGCUAAAUAUACCCUUAUCACUAACAAAGGACACGUGGACAACUGAGAUUAAAUGAACUAUUCAAUUUAAAAUAAAUCAAAUUCGGAUAUGACCCGCCCCGCCCCAAUAACUUAACCCGGCCUAAUAGGUAACAUUUACCCACCCAAUUUGUCUUUCAAACAAUAAAACCUAAUGGGCAAUCCAAAGAGGUCUGCGAACUUUGGAACCUCUGCUUCGCAAACAUGAGUUCAUAUAGUUCUUUGUGGUAAUACUUGUGCACGAUAUAGUUGUAUUGGCAACAUUUGUUUAAUAGCUAAGGUGCAUCAACUAUUUUCAUCAACAUGAAGCCACAGAUUAGCCCAAAAAUCUGAACUUAAUAAUAUAGUAGCAACGCAGCAGCACACCACUCCUAAAAUGAAAUGUAAAUUACAAACUAACUAAUCUGGACAAAAAACAAGUACAACACCCCAAAAUUAUGGUGUUGCAUAUCGUACCAGACUUCUCUUAGCAAGAUGAGUUCUCAAAAAUCUCGAAAUAGAUGAGGAGUAUCAAGGGAACCCUGAGGCCAGUGGAGAGGAUUACUCAGUCGAAUCUCCUAACUAACUAACGCAACAAUAUUUCACCUCAAAAUAUAUAAACAAAUGGUAAAAAAUGUAGCAAGAGUUUGGCGAAGCAUUGGUUCCAAGUUCGCAGACCUCUUUGGAUUGCCCAUUGGGUUUUCUUGUUUAAAGACAAAAUUGGGUGGGUCAAUGUUACAUAUUAGGUCGGGUUAAGUUAUUGGGGCGGGGCGGGUUAUAUUCGAAAUUGUUUUUAUUUUAAAGGGAAAAAGGACAAAUAUACCCCCGAACUUUCGUAAAUGGUAUCUAAAUACCCCUCGUUAUACUUUUAGAACGUUGAUGCCCCUACCGUCUAAUUUUUGGAGCAUGUAUACCCUUUGAACUAACGGAGGGACACGUGUCACGAUCUUAACAACCUAUCAAAAAUUUAUUUAAUUUUUAUUUCCAAUUAAAUAAUCCGACCCGAAUAAUUAAAACCCACCCAAAUAAUUUAAGAUCCACCCAAAUAAAUCCCAUUUUCUCAUUCUUUUCUAGUUCCAACAACCAUACACCCCAAGAAUAGAUACCUAACACCACUGCCCCGACUCCAUCUUCUCCGGCGAAGCUCCACGUACAAAACCACCUCUAAUUGCUAUUGAACUCAACCUCUUUUGCUCUAGCGACACUCCAGCGAAAUCAGUGAGGUAGCGACCCUUCAUCCACCAUGAAACCUGACCACCACUCACCCAUCCCUCCCUCAAUGUUGCUCCAACAAUUCCGGCGAAUCGAACCAGCGAACUCUAGGGAAUCGAACCAGCGAACUCCGGCAAAUCGAACCAACGACCUCCGGCGAAUCGAACCAGUAAACUCCGGCGAAUCGAAUAAGCGACCUUCGAAUGGCUUUAUAAUCAUAAAACAAAAGUCAAUAACUUUUUUAGAUGACUGAAAUUUUGAAAAAAAAGACUGUAGGGCUGAAAACCAAGAAAAUAGAUCUGUGAAGAUCGAAAAUCAACAAUACAUUCAGCAGCCACAGGGAAAGCAUCACAUACUGCAAUGACCUUUGGGAACACUUCCUGCAUUUUUCAAGCGUAAAUUGGUACUGGUAUUCGUACCAAACCAAAGCUUCCUGGUUUGAUUGGCAAUUCAAGGAUUACUUAACUUUCCUACAUGAAUUUCCAUUUCCAAGGAAUUUAAUGCUAACAUGGCUUUAGAAAACUUUGAAUUUUGCUUUAUGAUUAGUUCUUGAUCUCCUUCUCUUGAUAACUUGGUUAUAAUUUCGGAGCGGGUCAUAAAUUACUUGGGUGGGUUUUUAAUUAUCCGGGUCAAUUUUUUAAUUAAAAAUAAAAAUUAAAUACGUUUUGGAUAGAUUGUUAAGAUCAUGACACGUGUCCCUCUGUUAGUCCAAAGGGUAUACACGCUCCAAAAAUUAGACGGUAGGGGCAUCAACGUUCUAAAAAUAUAAUGAGGGGUAUUUAGAUACCAUUUACGAAAGUUCGGGGAUUUAUUUGUCCUUUUUCCCUAUUUUAAAUUGAAUAGUUCAUUUAAUCUCAGCCAUCCACGUGGCCUCAUAAGGGUAUAUUUAAACCAAAAGUAUAACGGUAGGGGUAUAUUUAGCUCGAAAGUAUAACUAGGGGUAUAUUUAAACUAUUUCCUAUAGUAGAGGGAUACAUUUGGCCCUUUGCCGUUAUUUCAAACACUAUGGAAAAUUAAUUUAGGGGGUUUGAAUUGACUUUUUAAAAGUAAUUUAUAAGCACCACAAUUGGGCACACCUAGCUUUUGAUAUUUUAAAAACUUUCUCUGCCUAAUUUUUUUUUAAACACUUUUUUAUAUUUCCAAACACUUUCUAAAUUUAAAAAAAAAAGCGUAAAGAAAUAAAAAAUAACUUACAAUAAAUCAAUCUAGACACUCUCCAAAAAAUGAUAGAAAUAUUUAUAUAAUAAGAUUCGUAUAAUUUAAGUUACGAACUUACAAGUCACGCUAAGUAGUAUAUAAUAUAACGGAAUAACCUUAGUAAAAUACUCUACAUAUUUAAACAGUUCGCUGCGCUACUAUGCCCUUAAACCCUUUUCCAUAAACAGUGUCUUCUUUAAACCCUUUGCAGUAUUUAUCCAUCCCAUUCUUCUUCUUCUUCGCCGCCGACGACGAUGCUCAUAGUCUUUUGAGGGUUGCAGUUGGAAACCCAGAACGCCAAAUUGAUUCAUAGACUUUUCUCUCUCUGCCAUGGCUAUCGACGGAGAACAGUCGCACAAAUCUCACAGGUCACGUCAGUCUGGUCCUACCGCCAAGAAAAAAUCCAAGUCCGACAAGAAAAAAAAGGGUGCUUCCGACGAAAACAAUAAACAACAUAAUCCUAAGGUUUCUUGAAUAGUAUUUUUUCUUGUAGUUCUUUUUUGUUCUUUAUGUGCCUGGGUUCGUCUACUGUUUUACUCUAUUCUUGACUGAUUUUUAUUAAUAAUCUGGGUAAAUGUUUGUUUCAGUCUAUUUUGUUGGUCUACCCAGUCAUAUAUGAAUAGAUUUUGUUAGUUCUUUUAACUCUAGACCUAAGUCUCCUCACUGGCUCCAGGGUCUUAACUUUUAUCAUGUAAUGGAGAAAGCAUAGCUACUUUUGUACUCUUUGCAUCUCCUUGAUUAAUUCAUCAAGAAAAUAAUAAUUUGGGCACAAGUCCAAGAUUUCUUGAAUAGUAAUUUCUUGAGACUUAUAAUGUAAAUUUGUAGGCAUUUGCAUUUAAUUCCACGGUGAAAGCAAAGAAAUUGCAAGCACGAGCAACAGAGAAGGAGCAGAAGAGGCUUCAUGUCCCAACAGUUGAUAGGUCCACUGGUGAACCAGCUCCAUAUGUUAUUGUAGUGCAGGGACCUCCCAAGGUUGAUUUCACAUGGUUGUUUUUGGUUAGAUGUCAUUCAUUGGGUUUUAGAUUUGAUCUUCUUAUGUAUUAUGCUAUUAUAGGUUGGGAAGUCACUGUUAAUUAAGUCUCUCGUGAAGCACUAUACAAAGCAAAAUUUACCUGAAGUUCGAGGUCCCAUCAUUAUAGUAUCAGGUAUGUAUUGGCUUCCCACCUUGUUCCUUUUUCCGGUUAGCUUAGUCCAUAAAUGAAUAAUUGGAAGUAUUAGAAAGAAAGUAUGGAUUCACCUGAUCACAUCUGAGAUAUUAUCUUUGAUGGUUUCUGUUUAUCUCAUGUUUCGUCUUGAUUGUGAUUUUUAUCUCCUUCAAAAAGGAGGUAGAGAGGAUAUCAAAUAUGCUGGAGGUGUUGGGUGGUUGUGGAAAUUAUUCAUUUAACAUAUUACAGUAUAUCCAUUUUCUUGUUCCUUAUCCUUUUCCUGCUCCUCAUUUCAAUUACAAUGGUAGGCUUUUGAGAUGGACUCCGUACUUUAGAGAAGACCAUAAUUAAAUUUUCCUAAUACUUCCCCUUAGCCCAUAUAUCAUUUCAAGUUUAAUGAAUGAAAUAAAAGAGAAAAGCUAAUUUUCUUGUAUAAAGAUGUUUUUGUGUAGGAGGUUAUUUUACUUUCAUUUGGGUUUCUUUCAACUUAAUAUACUCUGCAUUCAGAAUAACUUCAGCUGGCUGGUUUUUACUGGGUUUUGAAAUUAUAUUUAGUUCUCCACAAGCAAGACAUGCCUCCAAAAUCAGUUGGGACAUGGUAUACAGUGAAUGCUUGGUUUCGCGUCCGAGUAAUCUGCUGUGGUUGUGAUGCUGUUACUGACUCUGAUAUGUAUAUAAACUGUCAAAUUGUAUUUUAUAGCUAUAGUUUUUUUCUCUUUUCGUUUUUUUGCUACGUGAUCGAGGAUAUGCUUUUCUGCUUUAUUGCAAUAUGUUAGUAACUUGUCUUGUCAAAUGAGCACUUAAGCCCGGUAGGCAAGGCACUUUGUAGGAUGAAUGUGUGCCUUGCUAAAUUGCUGUUUCGGUGGAAGCUCUUAGUUGGUGAUUCAACACAAAACCUAGGUUAAUUAUGAAAUUCUUGAGUUUUGCCUAUAGGUUGACUCUAAAUCAUUAAGGUGGCUGGAUCAAUUUAGUGUGAAGUGUUAAGGAAACUCGGCAGAUGGAAAUAUUCUAGUCACUACUCCCUAGGAAUAGGAAAUUAAAAUAUUUUUACACUAGAGUUGGUUACUUCUUACAAUUGCAUUGUGAACUAAAAACUUAACCAGAAAUAGAGUGGAACUUGAACUACUAUGGUUUUUAUCCACCAAUAUAUUAACUUAAUAUGCAGUGUUUUAUUUCCAUCAAUUUUGCGUCUUUUUUCAUUUAGUUGAGCCUUGCUAAUAUACCCCAUAAAGCAGGUUUUGGUGCUUUUCUAUGCCUUUCUUCUUUGACAUUAUUGAUAAUAUCUACAGGACUUUUUUUUCCCUUUUGAUGUACCAAAAUAAGGUGUCAACUUAAUCAAUUAGAAGAGUAGCUAUAUAUGCAGUAUUGGCAUAACUAUAUUCUAUUGCGUUUUACUUGGAUCUUUGGUAUUGGAAAAUUAUUGUUAAUUCAUUUGUGACAUUGUAGGUAAGCAGAGACGUUUGCAGUUUAUAGAGUGUCCGAAUGAUAUCAAUGGAAUGAUUGAUGUGGCAAAGUUUGCGGAUUUGGCAUUGCUUCUCAUUGAUGGUAGCUAUGGCUUUGAAAUGGUGCGCUUUUGUUUCAUAAGAGAAAAAAGACUCUUUAGGAUAAGCAUAAGAUUGUUCUAGCGUUUUCUCAUUGAAUAUGUAGCAACUACUCUAGUCUAAGGAUGGGUUAUUCGUAGUGAGUUAUGUGAGAUUGAAUUAUAUGCAGAUAUUAUCAUUAAUGUAAGUUCUUGAUUCCUCUGUCUUUCAAAUUGAUCCUCUUUGUCCCAUUUUAUUUGACACGCCUUUUCUCAUGACAUGCAAAAAUAUUAGUACUUGAAGAAAGUGUAAUACUUUAUUACUUUAUACCAUGAUUUCCUCAUUAAUACCUGAUCACUUUCAACAACUAUUUUCAGUGCUAUCUUCUAACACUAUAAAUUCAAUAUGCUAGUUAAGUUAUUUAAUGGUGUGUUUGAUCAAAAUCUCUCACAGAAUAGCAGAGGGAGUAUCAGUUAGAUUCCUUAAACAAACUUAAUUGGUUAUAUUAAAAUUGACAUUUGUUGCAUGCUUCCAUCUUGUUAGCAAGGUAACACAGCGGGUGUUAUAUUCUUUCUGUAGUACCUUUCACAUUUACUGAUUGGUGAUUUCUGCCAACUUUAUUUCCUCUAAGAAAAUUUCUCGGCUGAUAUUUUUUUUGUUGGUAGACCUUGUGAUUGGUUUAAUUAAUUUUGCAGGAGACCUUUGAAUUCCUUAAUAUACUGCAAAAUCAUGGAUUUCCUAAAGUUAUGGGUGUUCUUACACAUCUCGACCAGUUCAAGGAUGUUAAGAAGCUCAGAAAGACAAAACAACGGUUAAAACAUAGAUUUUGGACUGAGAUAUAUGAUGGAGCUAAAUUAUUUUAUUUGUCUGGUCUUAUCCAUGGGAAGUAAGUCCCUGGCUUCCAUAUUUGAAAAUACAUGUUUAGCAUGCUACAUUGAUAUAAUGUAAUAUUUCUAUUUAAUUUCUGAAACAAUUUUUUGUUAAUGAGUAGGUACUCUAAACGUGAAGUGCAUAAUCUUGCUCGGUUUAUCUCUGUCAUGAAGUUUCCUCCUUUAUCCUGGCGCAUGUCCCACCCCUACAUUGUUGUAGAUCGAUUUGAAGAUCUAACUCCCCCUGAAAAAGUGUGCAUGGACAACAAGUGUGACAGAAAUGUCAUUUUGUACGGUUAUCUUCGUGGUUGUAAUAUGAAGAAAGGAACAAAGGUCUGUGAUGUGAAUGCUUUGUUUCUUGUACUUUACUUGUAUUUGGUUGGGAAAUAACUUUUAGUAGUACAGUUUCAAAAAAUAACUUUUAGUACUACAGUUUCAAAAAAUAACUUUUAGUACUAAUUCAUGUCAAAUAAAAUUCUGAUUAUGCUGUGAACUGGCUGUUUAUAGGCAUAGAAGCAAAGGUUCGUGCACCCUAUAAGGUCAAUUGAAAGUAAUAAAGUUGCUGAGACUUGAGAGAUGGCAUAGCAAUAUGCCUAACAUCUUAUGGAGUGUUAGUUGGCUCUAUUGGGCUACAAAUAGAUGAACUUUAAGAGUGACAAUACAACAGAUCUGGUUCAAAGACUUAGGGAAAAUCAUCAAGCUUAACGUUCAAAUGCAUAUUAUGUAUCUAGUGGCUAAUAUAGAGAAUUUUGGCUAUAGUUUUAGAAAUUUCGCGUAUAGUAUGGACCUUUGGCCUUUUUGGUGUAAACUUAUCAUAUGUGAGGAGGAAAAAUGAGACUCUUAUCAAUGUUUUGUAGAUUUUGCACAGAGAAUCUUUUGUAGCGUCCAACAUUAGCUUAGUGCUUGGCUAUUUCACUUGUGAAUAAUAUUUUCUUUACUUGUCAACAAUUAGAGUUUGUGAAUUCUACUGUUCGAUGUACUAUUGAAAGGGAACAAGUUAUCUCCCUUUCAUAACAUAGUAGAGAAGAUCGGGAAAGAUGGAAGCCUUUGGGAUACAAACUCACUAGUUGUAUAAUGACUCAUGUGAAGACCGUGUCAUUUUAUUUAUAUCUAGUUAUUUUAAUAUAUGGUGUUUCAGCUAGUGAUUUAGCAGUUUAUUUCUCCCUUGUCCAUAAUCUAAAGCUGCUUCACAAUAUGACCAGGUACAUAUUGCUGGUGUUGGUGAUUAUAGUUUAGCUGGUAUAACAGCAUUACCCGAUCCAUGCCCUCUACCAUCUGCUGCCAAGAAGAAGGGACUAAGGGACAAGGAAAAGCUGUUUUAUGCCCCCAUGUCUGGAUUGGGCGAUCUUCUUUAUGAUAAGGAUGCUGUGUAUAUAAACAUAAAUGAUCACUUUGUCCAGUUCUCUAAGGUUGAUGAAACAGCUGCUGUUGGGGGUCGCAGAGGUAAAUAUUUCCUCUCUGUUUCUUAUAAACCUAUAUUUUUUUUAAAAAAAAAAUAGACGAAUUCCAAAUUUUUUUAGCUUAUGGGAAAUUCACAUUCCCUUAAUUAGUUCAGCAAGAUAAGUGAUAUGCCUCAGGCUAUCUUUUGGUUAUAGGUUUUUUUGUUGUUUGAAUUGGUAAGUUCUUAUUCAUAAACAGCUAUAGCUUUAAAAUUUGCUGCUUUACCAAUUAGUAGGGCUUGAAUGUCGUUGCUUUCCCUUUCUUGCUCUGGAUUCCUUCCAUCCCUAUCAGUUACUCAUCAUAAUUUCUGGCUGAACUCUACUUAUUAUUGGUCAAGCGACUUAAUAAGACCAAAUGUUGAUUAUGAAAUCUUCUCUUGUGCUGGUGUUUGUGUCAUCCAUUUCCUCCACGUUCAGUCUUUCUCUCUCUUUUGUGUUCGAAGGAGUGCUAUUUGCUUAGAUGGUGUUAGAAGUUUUAUGAGAACUCCUAUAUGUUGCAAAAUUUUAGUACAUCUUUUUACCAAUUGCUUAGAUACCGUCGGGACAGGAAUGGGCGUUGUUAAUCUUAUGAUCGAUACUAGUUUCUGUGAAAACCUUAUGAUCGAUAGUAGUUUGUUGGAUUGUGUUCAUUUUCACUAAGCUGACCAAUUGAAAAGAAAAAUUGAGUUAUGUUACUGUCAUCUCCCUACCAUGUUAUUACGAAAAAUGGUCCAUACAUUUGUCAAACUACAUUAGGUGGAUGCCAAUAGCAACUAAUGCGUGAAAAAAAAUAAAAGAACAGGAUUAUGUUAGAUACAAUUUUUUUAAUUCUUUUUUGCAUAGACUAAUAAUUAAAAAUCUCACCCGUGUCAUGCAUGGAUCUACAACUAGUUUUUUUUUUUAACACUGGUAAUUUGUAUUUUUCAGUAUUACGGGCUUUGACUAGUUUUCUUAAUAAUGGAUAAAGAAAAUAUUGGAUGUUGAGACCACCUUUUUCCAACAUGCUAUAUGUUCUUAUUUUAUUUUUUGGGUCACAACUUUUGGCAAGACAUUUUCCCACUGACAAGUAUUAUCCUCCUGAUCUCAGGGAAGGGAAAUGAUGUCGGAGAGGCUUUAGUUAAAUCACUUCAGAACACGAAGUAUUCAAUCGAUGAGAAGUUAGAAAAUAGUUUUAUUUCCCUUUUUGGGAAAAAACAUAAUCCAUCCUCAUCAAAUCAUGAUUUGGUGCUUGCGGAGCGAGAUCUGUCUGGGUUUGAACCCAACAGGGAUGGAUCAGAUGAAGACAAUGAUGCUGAAGAUUUGAAUGAGUUGGAACCAUUACAGUUGGAGCGUACUCAUCCGAAGGAGUCAAAGGACACCUCUGAUGAUAGUUCUGAGGAAGAAGAUACUAUUGGAUCAGAGAAGCACCCAGGAUUGAGUAGUAGUUUCAGGGAACAUGUUGAUUUCCAUGAUGGAAGAAUGAGAAGAAAAGCUAUCUUUGAUAAUGAUAAUGAUUUUGAUGAAAAGGUAAGCCAAUGACAUUCCUGAUCUAGUUCCUGUCCUUCUCGUUGUGCCUCAUCUUGUCUAUGAGGUGUUUGUGUAUAGCGGAUAAAAAACAAGUAGACAGCUAUCUGUAC
rnacentral:lncRNA from 1 species